AAUUUCUAUUUAAAGUACAAUUUUCUUAUGAAUGCUAUUAAACAAAUAAAUUAAGAACAAGAGGUUACCCCAUGACCUAUAAGAAGUUGUAAAUAAAUUAAAGAAAGAAAACUAACAGAUAACAUCAGCUAAUCUUAAAUGAUGAAAAAAAAAAAAAAAUAUCGGUCACAAUCACUGAUUGGAUCUAAAUCUUGCCCUUUUUGACCAUUUACUUUAAUCCAUUUUGAUGAAGAUAUAUAAAAGAUUUGCUCUAGAUUGAAGGCAUCACUAUCUCUUUGGCAUAUCAUAUACUUAUGAAUGUAAUAAUAAAACAACAUCAAAUAGAUAGUAGUCUCUAUUGUAAUGGGUUACAGGGUUGAAUGUAAAAUAUAUAUUAUUUGAUAGUUGCACAUGUUUGCUGUUUGUUUAGUUUUGCCUGCAC
rnacentral:lncRNA from 1 species